rnacentral:rRNA from 2 species
AGACCCGAAACCCGGUGAUCUAGCCAUGGGCAGGUUGAAGGUUGGGUAACACUAACUGGAGGACCGAACCGACUAAUGUUGAAAAAUUAGCGGAUGACCUGUGGCUGGGGGUGAAAGGCCAAUCAAACCGGGAGAUAGCUGGUUCUCCCCGAAAGCUAUUUAGGUAGCGCCUCGUGAAUUCAUCUCCGGGGGUAGAGCACUGUUUCGGCUAGGGGGCCAUCCCGGCUUACCAACCCGAUGCAAACUGCGAAUACCGGAGAAUGUUAUCACGGGAGACACACGGCGGGUGCUAACGUCCGUCGUGAAGAGGGAAACAACCCAGACCGCCAGCUAAGGUCCCAAAGUCAUGGUUAAGUGGGAAACGAUGUGGGAAGGCCCAGACAGCCAGGAUGUUGGCUUAGAAGCAGCCAUCAUUUAAAGAAAGCGUAAUAGCUCACUGGUCGAGUCGGCCUGCGCGGAAGAUGUAACGGGGCUAAACCAUGCACCGAAGCUGCGGCAGCGAACGUAUCACUUAAAGCGAUUCAGCGGGUUACGAUUGACGGAGCGAAGCGACGUCAAAGCGUAUACAAAG